rnacentral:rRNA from 1 species
UACACUCCUGCGGGAGGCAGCAGUGGGGAAUAUUGCACAAUGGGCGCAAGCCUGAUGCAGCCAUGCCGCGUGUAUGAAGAAGGCCUUCGGGUUGUAAAGUACUUUCAGCGGGGAGGAAGGCAAUACGGUUAAUAACCGUGUUGAUUGACGUUACCCGCAGAAGAAGCACCGGCUAACUCCGUGCCAGCAGCCGCGGUAAUACGGAGGGUGCAAGCGUUAAUCGGAAUUACUGGGCGUAAAGCGCACGCAGGCGGUCUGUCAAGUCGGAUGUGAAAUCCCCGGGCUCAACCUGGGAACUGCAUUCGAAACUGGCAGGCUUGAGUCUUGUAGAGGGGGGUAGAAUUCCAGGUGUAGCGGUGAAAUGCGUAGAGAUCUGGAGGAAUACCGGUGGCGAAGGCGGCCCCCUGGACAAAGACUGACGCUCAGGUGCGAAAGCGUGGGGAGCAAACAGGAUUAGAAACCCGUGUAGUCCCAUGAU